GCCUCACUCCUCCCCCAAAAUCUCACCUUCCCCCGCGUGCUCCGGCUGCUUUUGGCCACCGAUACGCUGCGCCGGCGCUCCAAAGUUCCAGGGUUUAGGUCGCUCCUUCUCCACCACCUGGCCGCCCACCCUCCACCUCUCGUGCUUCCCGGACGUCGCGGCCGCCGAGACGACGGCCAGGAGCAGGAGCCACCGAUCAGUCGUCGCCACCGCCAUGACCCAAGCUACCUAAGGCAGCUAGAAUCUCUGCUUUGAGUUCUUCCACUGUCCCCGCACGGGCUGCGAUCUCUGUUUUUUUGGUUCCCCAAUCCCAUUCCGCGUCCUCAUGCUGCCAUUUUGGGGUUCAAGGUUCGUCAUCAGGUUCCUGUGCUUUAAUGUCAAUAUUGGUAUGGCCGUAUGGGCGAUACUGAAGUUAAUGCCAGCGGUUAUUGUCCAAUGAGCUCGGCGAGAUGAUAAGGAAAUAAGUGCAGUUCUUUUUUAAGCGUCAUUCCUAUUUUUAUAAUAGUUGACAGUGACAAAUAAUGCUUGCUGGAAAACAAGUUCACUGUGGUAUAACUUCAGAGGUUAUUGCCAGAAGUUACGGAUCGCAGGUUUGGUUAGAUCCAUGGAUUGUGGAAAUUUUGUCGUUGUACUGUGCUUUUUCAUGAUAGGCUGUUGAACUAGAACUGGUUUGUUGUGUCUUUGUAACUUAGUUAGCAGAGUAUUAUUGUUCAGUCAGGUCAAGUGAUGGGAUAAAGUGGUGUAGUCUACUGUACAGUACUUUUAAAUGACAGCUGCUGGGACAAAUGAUGUUGUGCGGGAAAUCAAAAUGUCAUAGUUUCACGGGAUAGACGGAUCAGCUUGGCUUGGGAAUGUUGUCAGGUUCCUGUGCUUUUUUUCCCAAUAUCUUUGCUUCCGCCAGAUCCCAGAUCCAGUGUCUUUCGUCGGCUGGCUUUGUUUGCGCCGCUGAAGAACAGCAAUAGUCAGCCAAUAUCUAGUCCAAAGUCCAAGCGCCACCUAAGUUUAGUUGUUUCACCAUGCGGCGUGGAUGGACGGUCAAUUUCUUCGCCCGUCGCCCAACCGGCAGCAGCACGUACGCGAUGAUUUGAUUGGUUCCUUGUGUCCUAAAUGAAGGCAGGUUGUCUAAAGAUCUGAAAUCUCCGGUUUCAUCCAAGUUAUUAUGUUUUUCAUUUUAUUCAAUUAUCUCCCCUGCUUCUUUAUCACUCCUAUUUUCUAGAUGACAUAUACAUAAAAAACAGGAUGGUCUUUGUUGGCUUCCUGCUACUGCAUAUAACAUACUAAUUUGGCUAAAGAAUAUAUGUAUGUACCUUAACUGUGACAGCUACUGAUUUGGAUUUUUCUUUAAAACAGGCCAGGAGAAGCUGGAAUUCCAAAUCGUAGUCCGUGUGAACCAGUUGAACCGCAUCAAUCUUAUCAAGUCAUCUAAUAAAAAAAGAUUCUCCCCAGAUCUGCUUUUUUGGGCCGAACCACGUGGAGUAAUACCCCUGAAGUUCAGUGACUACAUCAACCAGGUACUUCGUACACACUUUGGUCUGUCACCAUCAAUGUUAUUUAAUCUACCAGUUCAUGCACAUAUGUACAAUUGGGAUUCUAUUUUUUCGUUUAAAUUAUGAAACAUUGCAUGUGUUCCUCGUUUUGCUAGUGCAACAGUGUAUAUUUAUAUACCGAAAGCUAACUUCCUAUAACUUUUAUAAAAUACCGUAGGAAGUUAUGUUUAUUUCCUAGAGCUACCAGUUGCUCGGAAGUUAUUUAUUUCCUACGGUUUGUUAUAAAAGUUGUAGAAAGUUAAAAAACCGUAGGAAUUGUAUGAUUUUGGUGUAGUGUUUUAUAUCCUCGUCUACACACAAUCAUCAACAUGAUGAAAAACAGGUAAAAAUGCAUUUGUGAUAAUAUAAGAGUUCAAGCAUGACAACUAAAAAAGGGAAAAAGAUUCUCACCAGUCUGGUCUAUCCCGUACACUUUGAUGCUGACGUCAUUAAAUUGUCUUGCUAAAUGAUGAUACCUCCCACUGUCGCAGCUAUCCAAGGAAAGUCAGGGUCAGCCAUCCUGUACCAACAAACCGGUAUAGCUAGAAAAAUCAUUUCUAAAUAAACUGAUAGGAACAUGAAGUGCUCUUGCUUCUUACCUGUGCUUGUUUAGCUCAUGUAUGGCAAUAACAAAAUCCACUAAAUAUUAUGCAUAAGGCAAAUAUUAGGCACAAAGUCCAUGUUCUGAAAGCAAAAAACGUGAGUCCUAUGCAAAUAGCAUGUUUGGAAAAACUUGACUAAAACCCCAUAUAUGAGGUAUGGUACAUGAUAUAUUUCAGGAAACCAUCUAUGUUUCUUACUUUCUUGUUUAUUCAGUUUCAUUAUUUCUUGGAGAAAAGAUAAACAUGCUCCUUUGGUGCUAGAAGCAAUGUGGCUUUAUUCUCCAACAUAAACACAGUUGAUGACAUGAGUGGCCUUACAUUUGGAUUCUCUUCGACACAGAAAAGUCCUACAUUAGUACACCUAUAGACAUCUGAUUUCAUUCAGGUGAAACUGUUUGCAUCGAAGCACAGACUUUGUUUUCCUUUUUUGUCGAUACAUUGAAGUUUGAAAAGGCCACUAUUUUACUUAGCUAAUUGAUUAAGCGUCUAUGUUCUUCAAACUUUUUUUCAAUGUUUAGGGUUUCCAUGGUUUUAGCUUUUUGACCUAUUCCUUAGUUUCUGUGCUCCAUUCUAAGACCUGUAUAUCACACGUAUUUCAUUUGGCCACCAAACAUUGAGGUUCUAAGAUGCCACUAUUUUACUUUGCGAAUAGACUGAACGUCUAUGUUCUUUAAAUUUUUCCCCAAAAUUUACUGUUUAUGGUUUUCCCUAAAUUUAGCUUUUGGAUUUAAUCCCUGGUUUCUCUGUUUCAUUCUAAGAUGUGUGUGUAGCCUACGUUUCAUUUGGCCAACAAAACAGUUUUUGUGCUCGUAGGUUGCUGCAGGACAAUUUUGGGUCCAUAAUGGUCAUAGGAACUCUACUGUCUACUUCUUGUAGAACAGAAAAAAUAAUUCAGUUCGCCUUCGUUGAAUCUAAUUUCGAUUUUAUAUCUUCAUGGCUUUUUUUCCUCUUUUAAAAAGUCAGACCUUACUCCUGUCCCUCUCCCCUCUUUAUUCUAUUCUCUCACUAUCUGAUGUCAUUCCAUUUGUGCAACAGAAAAAAAUUGCACUUUCUUUCAUCUUGGAAUAUGCUUGCUUUCAGUUUCUGAUUUUAUUGUAGUUGCUUGCUAAGUGAUUCACAGCAUCUGGUGCAAGAAGAUAGUAGAGAAAAUAAACAAAUUACAUAGCUCGUAGCUAUUGGCUAAUUAGUGUAGUUCAUACUUCAUAGCCCUUUUUUGCUGCAAGAAUAACCUGAGCAAACUCAUUCCUAAAAUAUAUGUUCAAAAAAUGUUCUGUGCUGAAAAUACACAGUGCACAUUGAACACUGCUAUUAUGUUCAUUAUGUUCUGUGCUGAAAAUACACAGUGCGCACUGAAAAUACACACUACCAAAAAAUGUUCCUGCAACACAGUUCUUAGUAAACUUGCUUCUAUGCUGCUCUUUUUUUUCCUUAUAUAUCAUCAUAACAGUGUGUUAGACUGUUAGCCUCUUGAUAUAUCUUAUUCGAGAAACACUUUAACUUUUCAAUUAAGUUUUUGUAACUUGAGAUCUUAGACAUAACAUAGCUUGUUGUGCUAAUAGACUUAGUACCUGCUUGCGGUGAUCAGAGGGAAAGAUAAAAUAAACAUAUUGUAUGUUAUUGUUUCUCUCUUUUCAAAAAAAUGUUAUUUGUUUUAUGAUCCUAAUAUUACAUUGUGCUCUUUGGUGCUGUUUAUGCUAACAUACUACUCUCAUUUGUAUACAUGUAUUGUUUCUUUUUUUGCAAGCAUAGAAGAGGCUCCAUCACUUUUGGUCAUGAGACUUUUAUGUAUAUAUUAACCUGAUGUUGAAGCCUUCCUAGAACUGUGUGUCUAUGCAAGAAAGACUGGUCACUUUUGAUCAAUAGACUUUUAUUUGCACGCAUAGAAGAGGCUCCAUCACUUUUGGUCAUAAGACUUUUAUAUAUAUAUUAAUCUGAUGUUGAAGCCUUCCUAGAACUGUGUGUAUGCAAGAAAAGCUAGGUCACUUUUGGUCAAUAGACUUUUAUGUACAUAUGGCUCUAGUUGAAGUCUUCCUAGAACUAUGUUUGUCUAUGUAAACUCUACAGAUACACUAUUGCUGGACACUCAAGUAUACCAGUUU
rnacentral:lncRNA from 7 species